GCUGGAACUACAUAAAUGUUGUUAAUGAUGAUUGAUGUCCAAUAUAAUGUAUUACCAGCUUGUGCGAAAGGGUCUAAUUAUUAAAAGUCCGAACACGGCCAUUAAAAGUGCGAGUGGAGAGUUGUGCGAGUGGAGUUUAGAGAGGAAGGGAACUGGAAUGGAAGGGUCUCGACGAGACAUGAUUGAGAUGAAUAGGUGGGACCCCCAUGUUAACCGCUGGGGUCAAAGCAGAAACCAAAAAUGGGUGGCUUCCCUUCCUGUUCGCUCUGAACCGAGUGCGCUAUGCGCAUUCGGGAAACUGUGCCCCUCCCAUGGCGAUUCCCAAGGCAGAUGCAUUCGGUAGUUAUGUAGGCCAGAUAUCACUGACGUGUGGGCCUAGUAGGGAAUGGGCCCAGUCGGCAGUGACACGAGUCAACCUGCAGACGAGACGCAUCCAGGAGUGGUAGGGGACAAUGAGUAGAUUUUGUUUCUAAAAGCGUACUCCCUCUGUCCCUUGGCUAAUCCGAAUGGGAGUUUCAUAGAGGUUUCAUGCACGUUAAUUAGGGUGCCAUGUCAGCAUUUUUGAUGAUGUGGCAGUGAGUUAAUGAGGAGAGAGGUAAGAGGGAUUUCAUCUAGAUGAAACCAUGUAUGCACAGUUACCAACACAGUUUGUGUCCUGCAUGUAGUGCAUAUGAAACUACUACACCAUGAAAUUUUGCACUGUAGAGGUAGUUUCAGAGACAUUUUCAUUUUCAUGUUGCUUAUGUAGCUUUCUUGGAAACAUCAAAAUGAAACUGUCCAUUGUGGUUAGCCUUUAAUGUUUAUUGUAUUGCUAUCACAGUUAGCAUGAUGAACAUCGCUAGUUUCGAGGUACCCACCGGGACAUUCCAC
rnacentral:lncRNA from 1 species